AAGAGAUGCGCUCAUCCUUUAGCAUCGGUGGGUCUUGCGAAUCUUUCAAGAGCAAAGGUCAUCUUCUUUGGGUGGUGGCUAGAAAUAUAGUCAUACAUCGGCCUACAACAAAAUUCCUGACGGCAAUCGCCUCUUUGGAGAUGCUCUAUUAACCAUAUUUACAACUGAAGAUUGCUCCCUUAAAAGUAACAUGACCUGUGCUUGCAUCGGUCCAGAGCUCUGUAUAUUUCUACUAAUAUCAUGGGGACAAUAAUAUAGGUUUGUCCCUCGAUUACCUCUAUCAUUGUUCUGGCAAUCAUGUCUAGUCGAGUAUGGAUUUUUCCUCUUUGCAUCGUGAAGAUCAGCAGUCCCAAGAAACACACAAUGAAAACAUAAACCCUGUGGUGAAUCCACCCAACCGAAGUGAUGGCAAAUUCUUUGUGAAACAACUGAUAUGAUUUGCUAUGUCCAUAGCGUUCAUACAGAAAAUCAAAAAAAAUGUAAGACUUCUUCAAAUAACCUAGUUCAUCGUACUUCUUGAUCCCAAACAUUUUAAGAAAAAUUGUAGGGUAAGCGAUUUUCAGGUACAAGCAGACGGGGAUUAUCCCAAGGGAUUCUAGAAAUCCUCCAAUUUCCUCCAAGAGUGGGGUCAUCUCUAAGUUUUCAAAUCAAAAGACGAUCAUUUUCUCAUCCUAAAACAUAGUAGCAGUCUCAAUAAUCUAUCUACAUGGCUGAACGUCCAUCAAGGACGACAAGUUGCCCAGUAUCCUUCUUAUAUGAUUCCCAUCACACUGAGGGAGGUCGUUCCACGAAUCGAUCAAGUUGGACGGAAUUAUUUGGACCAUACCUAACCUAGGAAUGUUGUGCAAUAUUUUCUGUAUUAAAAAAAGAGUUAGACCUAACCCCUCAUGAUUUGAUCAAUUACGUGAUAAUAGUCAAUAUGUUGGCACAUUUUCUCCUAGUAAUGCACAUAAUAUUAAUGUAUCCCUCGGGAUGGUAGAGAUCCAUUUUUGACUUUGGACAAGAUUUAUCUAAACGGAUUUAAUACUCCAGGGGUAUUUAAUCCAUCCUAGGCCUAACUUGAUACAUGCAAAGUUUCGAUCAGACUAGGCUUCUAAAGGUCUAGCUGGUACUCUUAAGCGAACAAAACUUAAGAGGGACAGAUGCGGGACCGUCGACUGCACAGUUAAUCGACUAGUCUACCGCUAAUAAGACUAUCCGAUUUAAAAAGGUAUUUUAGAAAGUGCAGAUAAUCAUCAAGCGUCGCUAUGUUGAUAGUAGGCAUGAGUGAAAUAUGAUGUUGAAAGCAUGUAUAUAAAAACGAUAGAACGUAGCCAAAUAAUUUUACAUUAUGAAGAAACACAUAAAGACAAUAUUUGAUAAUGCGAUAAAUAAGUAAGGAAGAGAAGGAACAGAAAAGUAAAUAGUUAGAAAGGUUCUCAAAUAGACAUAAAAUUCAAAAAAACAUGAUUGUACAGUAAAGCAAAUAAAGGAGAGAGGAAAGGAAAGGAAAGAUAAUGGUGUAACAAUUUCGAGCAAGUAAAGGGGUGGAGAAAGGGAGGUACGUGAAAGAAAUCAAAUAAAGCAACUGAAUUAACAAUCCCACACAAGCAAAAUUCCAUUAUAGUAAGAGCCUAAGUAUCCCCAGCAGAGUCGCUGUCACGGCCAAAAAUCCACUUUAGCACAUGAUGGCGCCUAACGCUUCCGUCAGGCAAGCCAACAGUGAUUUAUCAAUUUGAUUGCUCAUUUUAUUACUUUUGAAAGCAUAAAUUUUAAUAAGAAAAGGAGAUUUACACUUCUAAAUCACGGGAACGUACAUCAUUUAUAAUUAAUAAAAGAAAUGAAAGGCGAUAAUAAUGUAUGAAACACUAAGCAUCAACUAGUAUAACCCCCAAAACCCGGUAUCACAAGUGCACGAGCAAUGUAUAAUAUCAUGUUGGAUAUUUGUGGUAUAACCUUCUCUCUUCUAUAUUGCCUCAUUACUCUUAUUGGAGCAUAAGGGUAAAUUUCUCGUAACCCUAUCAACAUAAGAUGAUUAGCUUUCUAAGAACGUAUUAUGAAUUCAUUGCUUGGAAACCAUCCGAACAUCCAUUGUACAUGUUCCUCGGUCUAAUUGCUGAAGAGAUGCACUCAUCCUUUAGCAUCGAUGGGUCUUGCGAAUCUUUCAAGGGCAAAGGUCAUCUUCUUUGGGUGGUGGCUAGAAAUAUAGUCAUACAUCGGCCUACAACAAAAUUCCUAACGGCAAUCGCCUCUUUGGAGAUGCUCUAUUAACCAUAUUUGCAACUGAAGAUUGCUCCCUUAAAAGUAACAUGCCCCGUGCUUGCAUCGGUCUAGAGCUUUGU
rnacentral:lncRNA from 1 species